rnacentral:rRNA from 1 species
AAAUUGAAGAGUUUGAUCAUGGCUCAGAUUGAACGCUGGCGGCAGGCCUAACACAUGCAAGUCGAACGGUAACAGGAAGCAGCUUGCUGCUUUGCUGACGAGUGGCGGACGGGUGAGUAAUGUCUGGGAAACUGCCUGAUGGAGGGGGAUAACUACUGGAAACGGUGGCUAAUACCGCAUAACGUCGCAAGACCAAAGAGGGGGACCUUCGGGCCUCUUGCCAUCAGAUGUGCCCAGAUGGGAUUAGCUUGUUGGUGAGAUAACGGCUCACCAAGGCGACGAUCCCUAGCUGGUCUGAGAGGAUGACCAGCCACACUGGAACUGAGACACGGUCCAGACUCCUACGGGAGGCAGCAGUGGGGAAUAUUGCACAAUGGGCGCAAGCCUGAUGCAGCCAUGCCGCGUGUAUGAAGAAGGCCUUCGGGUUGUAAAGUACUUUCAGCGGGGAGGAAGGUGUUG